GGGCGAAUAGCUCAGGGGGAGAGCACCUGCCUUACAAGCAGGGGGUCGGAGGCUCGAAAUCUCCUUCGCCCA
rnacentral:tRNA from 1 species